GAACCGAUAUCGCGAUACUGCACUCCAGCCUGGGCGACAGAGCGAGACUCCCUCUCAAAAAAAAAAAAAAAACUGUUAGAAUGCCUAUUAGCUGCAUGAGGGGAAACAGUAACCAGAAAGUAGAGGACUGGACAACAUCUGGACCAAGGGAUCAAAAUUAACAUCAAUAAGUCCUAGAAUCAGGCGUUUCUUUAAGAGGCCCUACUUCCUCUAAUUGGAUAAUUCUAGAAACCGGUAUUUGAAUCUGAGGUUUAACUAAAGAGAAUACCUUCUACUGAUGUAACAGCAAUGGUAAUUGGUAUAAAGGCAAAAGCAUGUGCAAAGGAGAAAUCACAACAAAGGCCACUUAUUGAAAUAAAACCUAUUAAAAAUGUA
rnacentral:lncRNA from 1 species